rnacentral:rRNA from 1 species
GAGUUUGAUCCUGGCUCAGAUUGAACGCUGGCGGCAUGCCUUACACAUGCAAGUCGAACGGCAGCACGGGAGCUUGCUCCUGGUGGCGAGUGGCGAACGGGUGAGUAAUGCAUCGGAACGUAUCCUGGAGUGGGGGAUAACGUAGCGAAAGUUACGCUAAUACCGCAUAUUCUGUGAGCAGGAAAGCGGGGGACCUUCGGGCCUCGCGCUCUUGGAGCGGCCGAUGUCGGAUUAGCUAGUUGGUGAGGUAAAGGCUCACCAAGGCGACGAUCCGUAGCAGGUCUGAGAGGAUGAUCUGCCACACUGGAACUGAGACACGGUCCAGACUCCUACGGGAGGCAGCAGCGGGGAAUUUUGGACAAUGGGGGCAACCCUGAUCCAGCCAUGCCGCGUGAGUGAAGAAGGCCUCGG